GAUGAACGCUGGCGGCGUGCUUAACACAUGCAAGUCGAACGGGAAUUCUUUUAUUGAAACUUCGGUCGAUUUAAUUUAAUUCUAGUGGCGGACGGGUGAGUAACGCGUGGGUAACCUGCCUUAUACAGGGGGAUAACAGUCAGAAAUGGCUGCUAAUACCGCAUAAGCGCACAGAGCUGCAUGGCUCAGUGUGAAAAACUCCGGUGGUAUAAGAUGGACCCGCGUUGGAUUAGCUGGUUGGUGGGGUAACGGCCCACCAAGGCGACGAUCCAUAGCCGGCCUGAGAGGGUGAACGGCCACAUUGGGACUGAGACACGGCCCAGACUCCUACGGGAGGCAGCAGUGGGGAAUAUUGCACAAUGGGGGAAACCCUGAUGCAGCGACGCCGCGUGAAGGAAGAAGUAUCUCGGUAUGUAAACUUCUAUAAGCAGGGAAGAUAGUGACGGUACCUGACUAAGAAGCCCCGGCUAAUUACGUG
rnacentral:rRNA from 1 species